UACGAAGGGGGCUAGCGUUGCUCGGAAUGACUGGGCGUAAAGGGCGCGUAGGCGGCUUGCACCGUCAGAUGUGAAAUUCCUGGGCUUAACCUGGGGGCUGCAUUUGAUACGUGUGGGCUUGAGUGCGGAAGAGGGUCGUGGAAUUCCCAGUGUAGAGGUGAAAUUCGUAGAUAUUGGGAAGAACACCAGUGGCGAAGGCGACUUACUGGACACAUAUUGACGCUGAGGUGCGAAAGCGUGGGGAGCAAACAGG
rnacentral:rRNA from 1 species